CCUACGGGUGGCUGCAGUGGGGAAUAUUGGGCAAUGGGCGAAAGCCUGACCCAGCAACGCCGCGUGAAGGAAGAAGGUCUUCGGAUUGUAAACUUCUUUGAUCAGGGACGAAUAAAUGACGGUACCUGAAGAACAAGCCACGGCUAACUACGUGCCAGCAGCCGCGGUAAUACGUAGGUGGCAAGCGUUAUCCGGAUUUACUGGGUGUAAAGGGCGUGUAGGCGGCUCUGCAAGUCAGAUGUGAAAUUCCCGGGCUUAACCCGGGCGCUGCAUCUGAAACUGCAGAACUUGAGUACUGGAGAGGAUAGUGGAAUUCCUAGUGUAGCGGUAAAAUGCGUAGAUAUUAGGAGGAACACCAGUGGCGAAGGCGGCUAUCUGGACAGUAACUGACGCUGAGGCGCGAAAGCGUGGGGAGCAAACAGGAUUAGAUACCCCUGUAGUC
rnacentral:rRNA from 1 species